rnacentral:miRNA from 1 species
UUGCAGACAGCUUUGAAGGUU